GUGGGGAAUAUUGCACAAUGGGCGAAAGCCUGAUGCAGCAACGCCGCGUGAGGGAAGACGGUUUUCGGAUUGUAAACCUCUGUCUUUGGUGAAGAAAAAAAUGACGGUAGCCAAGGAGGAAGCUCCGGCUAACUACGUGCCAGCAGCCGCGGUAAUACGUAGGGAGCGAGCGUUGUCCGGAAUUACUGGGUGUAAAGGGAGCGCAGGCGGGAAGACAAGUCAGCUGUGAAAUACAUGGGCUCAACCCAUGGACUGCAGUUGAAACUGUUUUUCUUGAGUGGAGUAGAGGUAGGCGGAAUUCCGAGUGUAGCGGUGAAAUGCGUAGAUAUUCGGAGGAACACCAGUGGCGAAGGCGGCCUACUGGGCUCUAACUGACGCUGAGGCUCGAAAGUGUGGGGAGCAAACAGGAUUAGAAACCCUAGUAGUCC
rnacentral:rRNA from 1 species